GUACGUUUUCGUAUCAAACAAUCUGGUUUGGGGACCAUGGUAGUCUACGCCGUAAACGAUGUCGACUUGGAGGCUGUUCCCCUGAGGAGUGGCUUCCGGAGCUAACGCGUUAAGUCGACCGCCUGGGGAGUACGGCCGCAAGGUUAAAACUCAAAUGAAUUGACGGGGGCCCGCACAAGCGGUGGAGCAUGUGGUUUAAUUCGAUGCAACGCGAAGAACCUUACCUGGCCUUGACAUCCACGGAAUUUUGCAGAGAUGCGGAAGUGCCUUCGGGAACCGUGAGACAGGUGCUGCAUGGCUGUCGUCAGCUCGUGUUGUGAAAUGUUGGGUUAAGUCCCGCAACGAGCGCAACCCUUAUCCUUUGUUGCCAGCGAUUCGGUCGGGAACUCAAAGGAGACUGCCGGUGAUAAACCGGAGGAAGGUGGGGAUGACGUCAAGUCAUCAUGGCCCUUACGGCCAGGGCUACACACGUGCUACAAUGGCGCAUACAAAGAGAAGCGACCUCGCGAGAGCAAGCGGACCUCAUAAAGUGCGUCGUAGUCCGGAUCGGAGUCUGCAACUCGACUCCGUGAAGUCGGAAUCGCUAGUAAUCGUAGAUCAGAAUGCAACUGCGACUCCGUGAACGGGCCUUGUACACACCGCCCGUCACACCAUGGGAGUGAGUUGCAAAAGAAGUAGGUAGCUUAACCUUCGGGAGGGCGCUUACCACUUUGUGAUUCAUGACUGGGGUGAAGUCGUAACAAGGUAACCGUAGGGGAACCUGCGGUUGGAUCACCUCCUUACCUGAAGAUACCUUCCCGCGUAGUGUCCACACAGAUUGUCUGAUAGAAGUAAUGAGCAACAUCGUAACAGAGUCCCCAUCGUCUAGAGGCCCAGGACACUGCCCUUUCACGGCUGUAACAGGGGUUCGAAUCCCCUUGGGGACGCCAUCCCUGAUAAUGAGUGAAAGACAUUAUCAACCGUAUCUCAAAACUGAUUCCUCCGCAAAGAUGAGUCACGUUUGAGAUAUUUGCUCUUUAACAAUCCGGAACAAGCUGAAAAUUGAAACGACAUGUCGUUUUCAUUCUCCGUAAUAAGAAUGAAAAUAACGAUAUGUUCGAGUCUCUCAAUGCUUACAACAGCAGUGUGUCUUUCGGGACUCUUGUGGGUUGUGAGGUUAAGUGACUAAGCGUACACGGUGGAUGCCCUAACAGUCAGAGGCGAUGAAGGGCGUGCUAAUCUGCGAUAAGCGUCGGUAAGGUGAUAUGAACCGCAACAACCGACGAUACCCGAAUGGGGAAACCCAACCGGGGGAACUGAAACAUCUAAGUACCCCGAGGAAAAGAAAUCAACCGAGAUUCCCCCAGUAGCGGCGAGCGAACGGGGAACAGCCCAGAACCUGAAUCAGUUUGUGCUUUAGUGGAAGCGUCUGGAAAGUCGCGCAGUAAAGGGUGACAGCCCCGUACACAAAAAGGCACUUAUUGUGAGUUCGAUGAGUAGGGCGGGACACGUGACAUCCUGUCUGAAUAUGGGGGGACCAUCCUCCAAGGCUAAAUACUCCUGACUGACCGAUAGUGAACCAGUACCGUGAGGGAAAGGCGAAAAGAACCCCGGCGAGGGGAGUGAAACAGAACCUGAAACCGUGUACGUACAAGCAGUGGGAGCACCUUCGUGGUGUGACUGCGUACCUUUUGUAUAAUGGGUCAGCGACUUAUAUUCUGUAGCAAGGUUAACCGUAUAGGGGAGCCGCAGGGAAACCGAGUCUUAACCGGGCGUUAAGUUGCAGGGUAUAGACCCGAAACCCGGUGAUCUAGCCAUGGGCAGGUUGAAGGUUGGGUAACACUAACUGGAGGACCGAACCGACUAAUGUUGAAAAAUUAGCGGAUGACUUGUGGCUGGGGGUGAAAGGCCAAUCAAACCGGGAGAUAGCUGGUUCUCCCCGAAAGCUAUUUAGGUAGCGCCUCGUGAACUCAUCUCCGGGGGUAGAGCACUGUUUCGGCCAGGGGGCCAUCCCGGCUUACCGAUCCGAUGCAAACUGCGAAUACCGGAGAAUGUUAUCACGGGAGACACACGGCGGGUGCUAACGUCCGUCGUGAAGAGGGAAACAACCCAGACCGCCAGCUAAGGUCCCAAAGUCAUGGUUAAGUGGGAAACGAUGUGGGAAGGCCCAGACAGCCAGGAUGUUGGCUUAGAAGCAGCCAUCAUUUAAAGAAAGCGUAAUAGCUCACUGGUCGAGUCGGCCUGCGCGGAAGAUGUAACGGGGCUAAACCAUGCACCGAAGCUGCGGCAGCGGACGUAUCACCCGGGCACAUUCACGGUAGUGGAUAACGAUUGACGGAGCGCAGCGACGUCAAUGCGCCCAUUAAAGUCGAGUGGGCCUCGGGAUACGUCCGUUGGGUAGGGGAGCGUUCUGUAAGCCGUCGAAGGUGGACCGUGAGGUCUGCUGGAGGUAUCAGAAGUGCGAAUGCUGACAUAAGUAACGAUAAAGCGGGUGAAAAGCCCGCUCGCCGGAAGACCAAGGGUUCCUGUCCAACGUUAAUCGGGGCAGGGUGAGUCGACCCCUAAGGCGAGGCCGAAAGGCGUAGUCGAUGGGAAACGGGUUAAUAUUCCCGUACUGGGUGUUACUGCGAAGGGGGGACGGAGAAGGCUAUGUUGGCCGGGCGACGGUUGUCCCGGUUUAAGCGUGCAGGCUUGAGUUCCAGGCAAAUCCGGAACUCUUUAAGGCUGAGGCGUGAUGACGAGGCACCACGGUGCUGAAGUGACAAAUGCCCUGCUUCCAGGAAAAGCCUCUAAGCAUCAGGUAACAUCCAAUCGUACCCCAAACCGACACAGGUGGUCAGGUAGAGAAUACCAAGGCGCUUGAGAGAACUCGGGUGAAGGAACUAGGCAAAAUGGUGCCGUAACUUCGGGAGAAGGCACGCUGGCGCGUAGGUGAAGCGACUUGCUCGCGGAGCUGAAGCCAGUCGAAGAUACCAGCUGGCUGCAACUGUUUAUUAAAAACACAGCACUGUGCAAACACGAAAGUGGACGUAUACGGUGUGACGCCUGCCCGGUGCCGGAAGGUUAAUUGAUGGGGUUAUCCGAAAGGAGAAGCUCUUGAUCGAAGCCCCGGUAAACGGCGGCCGUAACUAUAACGGUCCUAAGGUAGCGAAAUUCCUUGUCGGGUAAGUUCCGACCUGCACGAAUGGCGUAAUGAUGGCCAGGCUGUCUCCACCCGAGACUCAGUGAAAUUGAACUCGCUGUGAAGAUGCAGUGUACCCGCGGCAAGACGGAAAGACCCCGUGAACCUUUACUACAGCUUGACACUGAACAUUGAGCCUUGAUGUGUAGGAUAGGUGGGAGGCUUGGAAGCGUGGACGCCAGUCUGCGUGGAGCCAACCUUGAAAUACCACCCUUUAACGUUUGAUGUUCUAACCUGGCGCCGUAAUCCGGCGUGGGGACAGUGUCUGGUGGGUAGUUUGACUGGGGCGGUCUCCUCCCAAAGAGUAACGGAGGAGCACGAAGGUCAGCUAAUCACGGUCGGACAUCGUGAGGUUAGUGCAAUGGCAUAAGCUGGCUUGACUGCGAGAGUGACGGCUCAAGCAGGUGCGAAAGCAGGUCAUAGUGAUCCGGUGGUUCUGAAUGGAAGGGCCAUCGCUCAACGGAUAAAAGGUACUCCGGGGAUAACAGGCUGAUACCGCCCAAGAGUUCAUAUCGACGGCGGUGUUUGGCACCUCGAUGUCGGCUCAUCACAUCCUGGGGCUGAAGUAGGUCCCAAGGGUACGGCUGUUCGCCGUUUAAAGUGGUACGCGAGCUGGGUUUAGAACGUCGUGAGACAGUUCGGUCCCUAUCUGCCGUGGGCGCUGGAAGAUUGAGAGGGGUUGCUCCUAGUACGAGAGGACCGGAGUGAACGCACCGCUGGUGUUCGGGUUGUCAUGCCAAUGGCAUUGCCCGGUAGCUAAGUGCGGAAAAGAUAAGCGCUGAAAGCAUCUAAGCGCGAAACUUGCCUCGAGAUGA
rnacentral:misc_RNA from 1 species